rnacentral:rRNA from 1 species
CCUACGGGUGGCAGCAGUGAGGAAUCUUGGUCAAUGGACGCACGUCUGAACCAGCCAUGCCGCGUGCAGGAAGACGGCUCUAUGAGUUGUAACCUGCUUUUGUACGAGGGUAAACGCAGAUACGAGUAUCUGUCUGACAGUAUCGUACGAAUAACGAUAGGCGAACUCCGUGCCAGCAGCUGCGGUAAUACGGAGGCUUCAAGCGUUAUCCGGAUUUAUUGGGUUUAAAGGGUGCGUAGGCGGUCGGAUAAGUUAGAGGUGAAAUCCCGAGGCUCAACGUCGGAAUUGCCUCUGAUACUGUUCGGCUAGAGAGUAGUUGAGGUAGGCGGAAUGUAUGGUGUAGCGGUGAAAUGCUGAGAGAGCAGACAGAACACCGAUUGCGAAGGCAGCUUACCAAGCUACUUCUGACGUUGAGGCACGAAAGCGUGGGGAGCAAACAGGAUUAGAUACCCGAGUAGUC